UCGAGCAUUUGGGGAAAAGAGUAUUUAGAAAGUUUAUUUUGCCAAGGUUGGGGAUGCUUGUGCAUGACACAGCCUCAGGGUGUCCUGAUGACAGCUGCCCAAGGUGGUCAGAGCACAGCUUGGUUUUGUUAGAGAUAAAUGCUCGGUGUCGCAAAGUGAAACCAGCACUCAAGCGAAAGUUUUCUCAGCAAUGCAAUUUACCUCUGCAGAAGCGUGCUGCUCGCAUCAGUCACAAUCGCAAGAGCACACGGAACAAAGGAAAGCAGGGGUUUUUAUUCCUGACGCAAUCCCUACCUCUGGCAUGGGCUGGGGCCGGACCUCAAGAUCUAAACUGACCCCGUCGGCUAUUUGCGAAUAUUUUCCCAAAUAAGGAAGGGGGAAGGGGGAUGUGAGUUACAAUGGUGGGACCUGUGGUUUCGAAGGGAGAAAUGGGUGCAGAGCAGGUAACCAAGGGAACAGAUGUGAGUGAUCGAUUAGAACUGACGGGGGGAAGGUUGUUUACAGUAACUAAGGGCAAGGAGGCAUGGAGAACAAGAAAGUUGAGUUCGAGAACAAAACACAAGAACGUUAACAUGCCAAACCUUGGAAGAGAAACUGACUGUAUCUGACAGUUUUAUACAUUUUAGGGAGACAGGAGACAUCAAUCAACAUAUGUAAGAUGAACACUGGUUUGAUCCGGUACAACCAGAAGCAAAAGUGGGUCAACUCGAAGCCAGGAGGGGGCUUCCAGGUCACAGAAACGGGGUCUCCCUUGGUUGCCCAGGCUGGUCUCUGGUGCCCAAGGCGGGGCUCCCCGUAAUGUCUACAAAUAAUCCAGUGAAGGAACACCAGAGCGUGGAAAGCGGAGGACGACCGACAAAGGACUCCCCAUCUACAGAUGCGGACGCGCCUUGGGAGAGAAGCCAGGCACAGUGAAGGAAAUAGCAAUGGCGGUUAUUAAUUAAAAAAAAAAUACAUACAUAUAAUAGAGACAAACAGAGGGGCACAUGUGGGAAGGAGAGUUUCUGGAAUGCCAGAUGAGUUGGUCUCCCCUGUGUGAGACAUCCGUGGGGAGCCAUGGGCGGCCUCUGAGGAGAAAAGUCUCCUGAUUGCCUUCAUGUCUUUAUGCCCCACAGUGGAACAGCUCAGCCGCAUGCUACCGGUGCUCGGGGAGAUAACACUCCGUUGAAGCGGAGUAUAAUCAAACAUCUUGGCUCCUCCUGAAACCCACUCCCACCCAUUUCAGUCCUGAUCUUAAGUUAAAGAUCUUAAGUAGUUUAGACACACGCCUUUGCUCAAGGAAAAUUCGCAGAAACCGCCACUGCUAUACACCUUAUCGAAUGACUCACGAGUUCUCCUUCAGUAUUUAAUCCUUUCGUCAUCCCUUCUUAGCCCUCCCAUUCGCCCUAAGCACAAAGAGCUUGUAAACCAAUAAACUGGGUGGAGGCCGAGAGCUCGGGCCGUGAACAAGCCUCGGACGCUCGGUCCCCUGGACCCGCCUUUUAACUCUGAUUCUGUCUCUUUCUAAAUCCUUUGUCUCCGCUGGACUCGGGGUACCCGCCGGCGGUGCGGGGCGGAUUUCCCCAACGGGGCUUGAACUCGUGGGCCCAGGCGCGCCUCCCGCUUGAGUCUCCCAAAUUGUUGGGGUUACAGGCUGAGCCCCCGCCCGGCCAAACGGCCACACAGGACCGACCGUGUCCCGACUGCGCACCCCCGUCCCGCAGCCCGCGCCAGA